CAUCGUGAGGUGGAAUCUGAAGGAAGCCGGAUUCGGGGAACCUACUAACCCGAGGGCAAACCUCUGGCCUGACGUACAGAAAUCUCAUAUAAGGUUUUCGCUGAGGGUAAGACUGCUGAACAAGCCGAAGCCCCAUAACUACACGGAAUCAGCGGGAAUAAAUGAGGCAGGUAGAUGGAGGAAAAGAAA
rnacentral:ncRNA from 1 species